UACGGGGGGAGCAAGCGUUGUUCGGAUUUACUGGGCGUAAAGGGCGCGUAGGCGGCGCAACAAGUCACUUGUGAAAUCUCCGGGCUUAACCCGGAGCGGCCAAGUGAUACUGUCGUGCUAGAGUGCGGAAGGGGCUACUGGAAUUCUCGGUGUAGCGGUGAAAUGCGUAGAGAUCGGGAGGAACACCAGAGGCGAAGGCGGCGACCUGGAUAGGAACUGACACUAAACUACGAAAGCGUGGGGAGCAAACAGG
rnacentral:rRNA from 1 species